AAGAUGAGACUGCUAAAAUUAUGUAUGACCUCAUUUGAUAGAUUAUCUAAUAAGGAAUUUGCUAAUGCAGUUUAUCACUUAAAAAGCCAUACGACUGCUAAGGAUGAGUACUUUGCUGCAGCACAUUUAAACCUAAUUGUCAGAGGAGAAAAGCAAGCGGAUUUCAGAGGUGAGUUAGAAGAGCAUCCUUAUGAGGAUGAUGUCUUCACUAAAUCAGUGGUGCAAUGCAGCAAGCAGGGUGGAAAGGAGUCUCCUCUGGAUAAAGUCCUGUGACUCAUUUAAAAAGACUGAACAUCACUUUGACGUACACAAACAGAACUAGAAAGCAGCUCAAGCCAAUGAAACAAAGCUUGUUUUGCAGGAAAACAUUAGGUAAACAUUCCUAGAAAGACAGAAGUGAAAUGCCUGGCAGGAACUACAGCAAGCAUCUGCUGCUCAGUGGUUAAAGAUUGCCCAGCAAAGUCAAGGGGAUGUGAGAAGAGAGCAAGGCUGAAGCUGAGGUCAUACCCGAGGAUCUUUCUACAUUCCUCCAAAGGGUGGAAAU